rnacentral:rRNA from 1 species
UACGAAGGGGGCUAGCGUUGUCCGGAAUUAUUGGGCGUAAAGAGCUUGUAGGCGGUCUGUCGCGUCUGCUGUGAAAAUCCGGGGCUCAACCCCGGACUUGCAGUGGGUACGGGCAGACUAGAGUGUGGUAGGGGAGACUGGAAUUCCUGGUGUAGCGGUGAAAUGCGCAGAUAUCAGGAGGAACACCGAUGGCGAAGGCAGGUCUCUGGGCCACUACUGACGCUGAGAAGCGAAAGCAUGGGGGAGCGAACAGG